rnacentral:lncRNA from 1 species
CUCUUAUUUUGAUUUGCUGUUUUCCGAACACACGCGCGCCCUUACGGCAGUACGAUGAACCACUAAUCAUCUGUUUUUUAUCAACAACGAUUCAAAUUUAAUUUGAGACAGUUGUUUUUGGAAAGAAAAUUUUCUCCGUGUUCCAGGAAAAUGCUUGAACCGGCUUCAAGAUUUCGUGCAAAAUGGAUAUGAUGGCCGAACAAGGAGCAGCCCUCCAGCUCCUUAAUCAGGAGCUGGUCAAACAUAUCGAGGAGUUAAAGCGACGAAAACUGUAUUUACAAAAUGUAUACGAGAUGAUGAGAGGGUCAAGUGUCAGUUAGAGACAGAAAUGAUGUCUUUGUCUGCAAGGCUUCAAGAAAUAAUCGUACGACUGGAGCAUAAGACAGCUGCUUUUAAUGACGUGAACACAGCUAUAUCUGAAGCAGAGUGUGCCUUUGAUAAGAGAUUUGCACAGUUCUCAAGCCUUACUCAGUGUUAUCGUCGAGGAGAAGAACAAUAUCAUCAAGGCUAUCGAUUCUGACUGUGAUAUUUGCAGCCGCGAUGAUGAUUGCUGUUGACAAUCUCUUGAAUGAUGUAACCCUGAUGCAUGCAGGCAUGCAGUAUGUGUAGAUGAGCGAUGGUUUUUUAUUUUCAAGUUUUUUUUGGUGCAGAGUAUUAUGCCAAAGAUCAUUCAUGGAUGAGUCUUUGAUACCAACCAGAUGCUGAACGUUCAAAGUUGUGAAUUUCUCCAUUAACCUGCAGGGAAAAAACAUGGAAUUC